AUACGUAGGUCCCGAGCGUUGUCCGGAUUUAUUGGGCGUAAAGCGAGCGCAGGCGGUUUGAUAAGUCUGAAGUUAAAGGCUGUGGCUCAACCAUAGUUCGCUUUGGAAACUGUCAAACUUGAGUGCAGAAGGGGAGAGUGGAAUUCCAUGUGUAGCGGUGAAAUGCGUAGAUAUAUGGAGGAACACCGGUGGCGAAAGCGGCUCUCUGGUCUGUAACUGACGCUGAGGCUCGAAAGCGUGGGGAGCGAACAGGAUUAGAUACCCUGGUAGUCCACGCCGUAAACGAUGAGUGCUAGGUGUUGGAUCCUUUCCGGGAUUCAGUGCCGCAGCUAACGCAUUAAGCACUCCGCCUGGGGAGUACGACCGCAAGGUUGAA
rnacentral:rRNA from 1 species